AUCCAUGUCACGAUAAAAGUACAUGCAGUGUGUAUGAGCAUGUGCAGCAUAAAAAACUGAGAAAAUCCGUUUUUGUCACAUGUCGCCACGUCAAUUUUUCGCUGAGUUAUAACGUUUUGAAAAUUCGGCACCUGUCGUCUAUAAAUAGAGUGAAGAUGCGCCGCGAUUCACAGAAUUGUGUGAUACGCGGAAAAGUGUGGAAUGCGUGGAAUGCGGAGAUGCUAUUAAUACUAUUAUGACCUAGAUUGAUUCGUAGUAAAGGCAUUGACCUAUGGGGACGUGGCAGACGCUCGACUUUUAUCAUCGGUCAAUUUCGGGACGUAUGUCGGAAUCACUCGGGAUGCAUAUGAUCAAGGAUCGAUGAGAUUGCGCGGGAAAAUGUAGUAAACAAAUGUCAAUUAAAGCUGAAGGAACUAAUUAUGGAACAGCCAAUUCUGUAAUCAAAAGAAUAUGUGAAAAAGGAUAAAUAAAAGAUUACAGGAUUUGUACAGUGAGGUGCUAUUAGCAAUGUUCAUUCACAUAAUAUAUUUACAAAGCCAUCGACAACUUUCAUUUCAACUUGAGCAAAUUCUAAGUCAUGGACCAUACGUUCAAGAUUUUCCAGCUGUCCAUCUACACGUG